rnacentral:rRNA from 1 species
CAGUCGAGCGAAUGAAGAGGAAGCUUGCUUCUUCUGAGUUAGCGGCGGACGGGUGAGUAACACGUGGGCAACCUACCUUGUAGCUGGGGAUAACUCCGGGAAACCGGGGCUAAUACCGAAUAAUCAGUUGUACCUCCUGGUACAACUCUGAAAGACGGUUUCGGCUGUCACUACAAGAUGGGCCCGCGGCGCAUUAGCUAGUUGGUAAGGUAACGGCUUACCAAGGCAACGAUGCGUAGCCGACCUGAGAGGGUGAUCGGCCACACUGGGACUGAGACACGGCCCAGACUCCUACGGGAGGCGGCAGUAGGGAAUCUUCCACAAUGGACGAAAGUCUGAUGGAGCAACGCCGCGUGAGUGAAGAAGGUUUUCGGAUCGUAAAACUCUGUUGUAAGGGAAGAACAAGUACGUGAGUAACUGCACGUACCUUGACGGUACCUUAUUAGAAAGCCACGGCUAACUACGUGCCAGCAGCCGCGGUAAUACGUAGGUGGCAAGCGUUGUCCGGAAUUAUUGGGCGUAAAGCGCGCGCAGGCGGUCCUUUAAGUCUGAUGUGAAAGCCCACGGCUCAACCGUGGAGGGUCAUUGGAAACUGGGGGACUUGAGUGCAGGAGAGGUUAGUGGAAUUCCAAGUGUAGCGGUGAAAUGCGUAGAGAUUUGGAGGAACACCAGUGGCGAAGGCGACUAACUGGCCUGUAACUGACGCUGAGGCGCGAAAG